rnacentral:rRNA from 1 species
ACGGAAGGCAGCAGUGGGGAAUAUUGCACAAUGGGCGAAAGCCUGAUGCAGCGACGCCGCGUGAGUGAAGAAGUAAUUCGUUAUGUAAAGCUCUAUCAGCAGGGAAGAAAAUGACGGUACCUGACUAAGAAGCACCGGCUAAAUACGUGCCAGCAGCCGCGGUAAUACGUAUGGUGCAAGCGUUAUCCGGAUUUACUGGGUGUAAAGGGAGCGUAGGCGGCAGGGCAAGUCUGAUGUGAAAACCCAGGGCUCAACCUUGGGACUGCAUUGGAAACUGUCCAGCUAGAGUGUCGGAGGGGUAAGCGGAAUUCCUAGUGUAGCGGUGAAAUGCGUAGAUAUUAGGAGGAACACCAGUGGCGAAGGCGGCUUACUGGACGACAACUGACGCUGAGGCUCGAAAGCGUGGGGAGCAAACAGGAUUAGAUACCCUGGUA